AUGCCAUGAUGUUUUUUCACGAUGGUCUUCUGAGAAAUAAUCUGAAGACAAUGCCUGAAGGCUUUGCUGAGCAUAUCUG